rnacentral:rRNA from 1 species
UUUAUUUUUGUUAAAAGUGACGGGCGAUAUGUGCAUGUUAAAUUUCUCAUUCAUUUCUUAUUAACUUAUUUUCAAAAAUUAUUGUUAAAUCCUUUUUGAUUUUUUUUUAGUUCUUGACUCUUUUAAGAGUUAAAGCAUUCCACAAACUUUCAUUUAUAGUCUUUGUCUUGAUUUGUUUUUUCAUCUUUAAUGAUUAUUAAGAGAAUUUUAACUUUUUUUUUUUCUUUAAAACAAUGAUAUAAAGAAUAAAAAAAUGAAUAGAUUUAAUCGUGGGUUAUCGAUUAUGCUGCAGAAUUCUCUAAAUAGCUUUGACACCGCCAUUUUAGUUAGAUUUCUUUUAAAUAAAUACUAUCUUUUUUUGUCCUAAAA